AAGAAAGAAAACCUUUUAUGCCGACACAAGUUGAUGCUUUUUUUUGAAGUUUGUUCAUUCACAUUGCCAUUGGCUUAUUAGUUGUAUGAUUUUUUGUUAUGCAUUUUUCUUAGUCACUCUUGCCUUAUUCCAUUUUCCACUUUGUUCGGUGGAGCUGAGAUUAGGAGAUUUGUUGCUAUGCUUCAGAAUUCUUCUAUUCUCAGGUCAUGCGUUGCUUUUGCUUUGCUACAGAGACUGAUCUCGUGUCAAAGAGGGUGCAUCCAAUAGGCAGAUCGUCAGCCAUAGUUCUACAACUCGUCGAGUCUACCCAAAACAAGGCCAUAAACUCAACAAAGUGACUCGACUAAAGUCACAAGACUCGUACUAAUCAUUUUUUUUCAUCCAAUAGGUAUUUUCUCUUGCUUUAGACGUUAUUCUAUAGCAGUGUUCGUAAUUAUUAUUUUCCUUGCUAUAGUGGAUGGCUGAACAAGAUUCAUCUCAAUUUUUUGAAUUGGGUUCUUAUUAAACAAUCGUGUGAAUUAUUUUUUGAAUGAC